GACGAACGCUGGCGGCGUGCCUAAUACAUGCAAGUCGAACGAGAGCGACCGGCGCUUGCACUGGUCAAUCUAGUGGCGAACGGGUGAGUAACACGUGGGUAACCUGCCCAUCAGAGGGGGAUAACAUUCGGAAACGGAUGCUAAAACCGCAUAGGUCCUUUAACCGCAUGGUUGAAGGAGGAAAAGAGGCGCAAGCUUCUGCUGAUGGAUGGACCCGCGGUGCAUUAGCUAGUUGGUGAGGUAACGGCUCACCAAGGCCGUGAUGCAUAGCCGACCUGAGAGGGUGAUCGGCCACAUUGGGACUGAGACAUGGCCCAAACUCCUACGGGAGGCAGCAGUAGGGAAUCUUCCGCAAUGGACGCAAGUCUGACGGAGCAACGCCGCGUGAGUGAAGAAGGUUUUCGGAUCGUAAAACUCUGUUGUUAGAGAAGAACAAGUGCUAGAGUAACUGUUAGCGCCUUGACGGUAUCUAACCAGAAAGCCACGGCUAACUACGUGCCAGCAGCCGCGGUAAUACGUAGGUGGCAAGCGUUGUCCGGAUUUAUUGGGCGUAAAGCGAGCGCAGGCGGUUCCUUAAGUCUGAUGUGAAAGCCCCCGGCUCAACCGGGGAGGGUCAUUGGAAACUGGGGAACUUGAGUGCAGAAGAGGAGAGUGGAAUUCCAUGUGUAGCGGUGAAAUGCGUAGAUAUAUGGAGGAACACCAGUGGCGAAGGCGACUCUCUGGUCUGUAACUGACGCUGAGGCUCGAAAGCGUGGGUAGCAAACAGG
rnacentral:rRNA from 1 species